AGUCACAAUCAACAUUCAUUGUUGUCGGUGGGUUGUGAGGACGGAGGCCAGACCCACCGAGGGAUGAAUGUCACUGUGGCUGGG
rnacentral:pre_miRNA from 1 species